rnacentral:rRNA from 1 species
CCUACGGGAGGCAGCAGUGAGGAAUAUUGGUCAAUGGACGCAAGUCUGAACCAGCCAUGCCGCGUGCAGGAAGACGGCUCUAUGAGUUGUACACUGCUUUUGUACGAGGGUAAACGCAGAUACGUGUAUCUGUCUGACAGUAUCGUACGAAUAAGGAUCGGCUAACUUCGUGCCAGCAGCCGCGGUAAUACGGAGGAUUCAAGCGUUAUCCGGAUUUAUUGGGUUUAAAGGGUGCGUAGGCGGUCGGAUAAGUUAGAGGUGAAAUCCCGAGGCUCAACUUCGGAAUUGCGUCGGAUACUGGUCGGCUAGAGAGUAGUUGCGGUAGGCGGAAUGUAUGGUGUAGCGGUGAAAUGCUUAGAGAUCAUACAGAACACCGAUUGCGAAGGCAGCUUACCAAGCUACUUCUGACGUUGAGGCACGAAAGCGUGGGGAGCAAACAGGAUUAGAUACCCCUGUAGUC